rnacentral:rRNA from 1 species
CUGUGAAAUGUUGGGUAAAGUCCCGCAUUGAGCGAAACCCUUAUCCUUUGUUUCCAGGGUUUUGGUCGGGUAUUCAAAUGAGACUGCCGGUGAUAAACCGGAGGAAGGUGGGGAUGAUGUCAAGUCAUCAUGGCCGUUACGAGUAGGGCUACACACGUGUUACUAUGGUGCAUAUUAUGUGAAGGGGCCUGGGGGGGGCAAGCGGACCUCACAAAGUGCGUCGUAGUCCGGAUCGGUGUCUGCAACUCGACUCCGUGAAGUCGGAAUCGCUAGUAAUCGUGGAUCAGAAUGCCACGGUGAAUACGUUCCCGGGCCUUGUACACACCGCCCGUCACACCCAUGGGAGUGGGUUGCAAAAGAAGUAGGUAGCUUAACCUUUCGGGAGGGCGCUUACCCUUCUUGUUUAGU